AGCAGCCGCGGUAAUUCCAGCUCCAAUAGCGUAUAUUAAAGUUGUUGCAGUUAAAAAGCUCGUAGUUGAAUUUCGGGAUUGGCGCAUCGGUCGUGCCUCACGGGGUAUGAACUGGUGCAGUCAAUUUCUCACCUUCUGGAGAACCGCGAUGUCCUUAAUUGGAUGCCGCGGGGAACCAGGACCUUUACUUUGAAAAAAUUAGAGUGUUUAAAGCAGGCAUUUUUGCUUGAAUACAUUAGCAUGGAAUAAUAAAAUAGGACGGCAUGGUUCUAUUUUGUUGGUUUCUAGGACCACCGUAAUGAUUAAUAGGGAUAGUUGGGGGCAUUAGUAUUCAAUUGUCAGAGGUGAAAUUCUUGGAUUUAUUGAAGACUAACUACUGCGAAAGCAUUUGCCAAGGAUGUUUUCAUUAAUCAAGAACGAAAGUUAGGGGAUCGAAGACGAUCAGAUACCGUCGUAGUCUUAACCAUAAACUAUGCCGACUAGGAAUCAGA
rnacentral:ncRNA from 2 species